ensembl:miRNA microRNA 802
UUCUAUUAUUUGCAAUCAGUAACAAAGAUUCAUCCUUGUGUCCAUCAAGCAACAAGGAGAAUCUUUGUCACUUAGUGUAAUUAAUAGCUGCGC